UGUUUUCAAUUUGGGCCAUGUUAGUGAGUGGAAUUAUGGCUUCCAGUUAAAUGCGUGGUUGGAUGAUGUUGUGUACCAUUCAUUUGUGAGGUACAGCGAGGAAGAGGUUGCCCUGUGCUCUUCAUCAAUACUUCCCUACCGAUGGUUCAAGUACUUGGAUUCUCCUGCGCCAUGGCAAGAAAGCUUGGUCAGUAGAAAUUGUCGGCCAUGAGUUUCGCAAAAAUUGGAAUGAGUUCCACCGGCGCAUCAGCUAGAGGUUCACCAUGGGAUUGUUUUUUCGUGUGAGCGUAAGUGGAUCUUUCAUACAACUAUGUUCGAUAAAGAUGGCUGCGAACUUCUGUUUGAUUGGUCUGGCCCAAGUGGUUGCUGGCAGGAUUUGCCCCCACCUUCAGGUAAUCUACAGACUGCUUGCUUGCCUUCGGUUCUUGUCGAUUGUCAUGCAGUGAAUGAAAUUCAUUUACUUCGAUGUGUAUGGACCUGACCUGCGCAAUGUAUGUUGUGCCUCUCUUUUGGCUAUGUUCACUGCCUUCCAUUGUGUGCU